ACACCACCGCACUCCAGCCAGGGCAACAGAGUGAGACCCUGACUCCAAAAGCAAAAACAAAAGAGCAAAAACGAGAUUCCAAUGUAUACUCCCACCAAUUAAUUUGAAGGUGACCAUAUCCCUCCUAUCAAAUACUGUCACUCAUUUACAUCUUUGCCAAAUGUGGGAAAACAUAAAGUUUGGCAACCCUAUAUUGACUCCACCAUGCCUUGGGAAAGGCAGCCCGCAUCAGUGGCAGGAAAUAUUGGUGGAGCGAGCUGGGACUUGCAGGUGACCAAGAAGGGGGAUCCCGGAACCGGAAUUGUCUCCCUUGGCGUUCCGGAAGUAGAAGCAGAGUCAUUGCUGGGUGGCGCCAGCCCUCAGACUUGCCUCUUUGCAGUAGGAAGAAGGCCUCCCCACAUACCUUCCCACACUCAUCACCUUAAGCCAGACUCGGUGUCCAGUGAAUAUGACCAUCUCUUGCCCAUUUUCUAAUGAGUGUUUUCAUUAAUGAGUUAUAAGAAUGUGGUGGGUAAAUCUAUGGGCUUUGAACUAGUGAAUCAACUUGGUUUCAGAAUCUGGCACUGCUACUUACUAGUGAAUUUAAGCAAGUUAUUUCACCUUUCAGAGUGUCAGUUCCCUCAUGCAUACAAGGAAGAUAAAAAAUAAUGUAUACAAAAGUAUUGGAGUAAUUAAUACAUGGAGAACUACAUGUAAAGCGUUUAGCAUGAUGUCUGACAUAUUAAGCAUCCAAUAUUAGUUGCUUGCAGAAUUAUUAGUAAAAGAGAUUGCUUCUGAAAGCCAUUCCAAUUCUUAAAUUUUAUAAUGCCACAUUUGAGGUCACCUGAAGUACGUGUAUAACAUGUGUACAUUUUUGCGAUUUAUUUUUUCAAUUCCCAGAUUAGAGGCAUAGAGAUAUCCUAGCAAGGACUCCAAGUGUGUAGAUCUGUCAAAGAUAUGAACAUGAAAGAACAGCUUAUUUCAAUAAACCCACUUUACAUA
rnacentral:lncRNA from 1 species